rfam:Gossypium arboreum cultivar AKA8401 contig_26536_1, whole genome shotgun sequence.
UGUUAAAAUUUUCAUCUAUUUCUACUAUUAAAAACCGGUGUGACUGACAAAAUAACUAGACAAAUAUAUGUGACGUGUCAUAUGUACCAUAUUAACGUAUAGAAACCAAUUUUUAACGGUAAGAAUAGAUGAAAUUUUUAAUA